AUGAAGAAUUUUGUGGGGAUACGAUCUUCCUUGCUUUUCUGCAUGAUUUUGGCUUUUUCUGAGCAAGAGUCAGUGUCCACAGGAUGUACUACCUCUACCUUCCAGGCUGUGGUUCCACCAACUCUGCUUGGUCAAGACCGCUUCUUACAUUCUGAUGAAGUGUCUCUGGGAACUGGCUGUCCUGUAACUAACAUAACUGAGAAGGGGUAUGAGUUUAAUUAUCUUGUCACCGAGUGUGGGAUUCAGAAAGAGGUAAGAAGAACUGUGACCAUUUCAAAAUAACAAACUAACCUGCCCCCCCCCCCACCAAAUAAUCUUGCUGUGGCCACUGUGCUUAAGUCAGUGCAAGGCCAGAGAUCUCAUUUUUAUGACACUUGGGUUUGGUACUUUUAGGAUGGGAAGACCAAUGCGACCCAGGAAUUGGCCUUGAAGAGCUCUCGGCCCAUUAGGAGACAGUGCAGUGUCAUAUAUUUUAUUAUGACUUUUCAAGCACUCAUAAAUCUUUGGUCCUUAGAUCUCCUAGAAACACCAAAAAAAAAAAAAAAGUAUCAUUUCCAGUUUUCAUGGUAAUACCUGAGCCUAAAAAUGCUGGCAGUUUACCACAGGUCAUGGAGCUCUCCAG
rnacentral:lncRNA from 1 species